GCCUCUAAAGAGAACAGUCACUACACUUAUGGCAGGGAUUUUACACUUAGUAGUUCAGAAGCCCCUAGGCAGACUACAGACUAUGGCAAAAGGUGUGGAGUCUCUCAUUUGUACAGACUGGAUUCGUCACAAAUUUACCAGGUCAAGAAUUCCAGAUAAAGUAUUUUAGCCUUCACCUGCUGAUCAUGAAAAAUAUGGUGGGGAUCCACAAAACCCUCAUAAACUGCAUAUUGUUACCAGAAUAAAAGGCACAAAAAGACGUCCAUAUUGGGAAAAAGAUAUAAUAAAGAUGCUUGGAUUACAAAAGGCACAUACCCCUCAAGUUCACAAGAAUAUCCCUUCAGUGAACGCAAAACUGAAAGUGGUUAAACAUUUGAUAAGAAUCAAAACCCUGAAGUUGCCACAAGGACUUCCAACAGAAGAGGACAUGUCUAACACAUGCCUUAAGAGCACUGGGGAGUUGGUAGUGCGGUGGCAUCUGAAACCUGUGGAGCAGAAAGCAAUUAAAUCCUAAUGCCAGAGCAGCUUCAAAUUUAAAAGUGCAGAUCAUUUUCUGUUAAAAAAUGGUGGCAAAGUGUUUUCAUUCAAAUAUAUGUUAA